UAACCUGCCCGUGAAGUAGGGGAUAACACUUGGAAACAGGUGCUAAUACCGUAUAACAACCAAAACCACCUGGUUUUGGUUUAAAAGACGGCUUCGGCUGUCACUUUAGGAUGGACCCGCGGCGUAUUAGCUUGUUGGUAAGGUAACGGCCUACCAAGGCGAUGAUACGUAGCCGACCUGAGAGGGUAAUCGGCCACAUUGGGACUGAGACACGGCCCAAACUCCUACGGGAGGCAGCAGUAGGGAAUCUUCCACAAUGGACGAAAGUCUGAUGGAGCAACGCCGCGUGAGUGAUGAAGGGUUUCGGCUCGUAAAACUCUGUUGUUGGAGAAGAACAGGUGUCAGAGUAACUGUUGACAUCUUGACGGUAUCCAACCAGAAAGCCACGGCUAACUACGUGCCAGCAGCCGCGGUAAUACGUAGGUGGCAAGCGUUGUCCGGAUUUAUUGGGCGUAAAGCGAGCGCAGGCGGUUUUUUAGGUCUGAUGUGAAAGCCUUCGGCUUAACCGGAGAAGUACAUCGGAAACCGGGAGACUUGAGUGCAGAAGAGGACAGUGGAACUCCAUGUGUAGCGGUGAAAUGCGUAGAUAUAUGGAAGAACACCAGUGGCGAAGGCGGCUGUCUGGUCUGUAACUGACGCUGAGGCUCGAAAGCAUGGGUAGCGAACAGGAUUAGAUACCCUGGUAGUCCAUGC
rnacentral:rRNA from 1 species